rnacentral:rRNA from 1 species
AUUGAACGCUGGCGGCGUGCUUAACACAUGCAAGUCGAUCGGUAACGCGGGGGCAACCCUGGCGACGAGAGGCGGACGGGUGAGGAACGCUUGGGAAUCUGCCCUUCAGCGGGGGACAACACGGGGAAACUCGUGCUAAUACCGCAUACGCUCCACGGAGGAAAGCCGGGGACCGCAAGGCCUGGCACUGAAGGAUGAGCCCAAGUCGGAUUAGCUAGUUGGCGGGGUAACGGCCCACCAAGGCGACGAUCCGUAGCUGGUCUGAGAGGACGAUCAGCCACACUGGGACUGAGACACGGCCCAGACUCCUACGGGAGGCAGCAGUGGGGAAUAUUGGACAAUGGGGGAAACUCUGACGCAGCAACGCCGCGUGAGUGAAGAAGGCUUUCGGGUUGUAAAGCUCUGUCAGGUGGGAAGAAACCUUUAUAGUUGAAUAGGCUAUAAAACUGACGGUACCACCAAAGGAAGCACCGGCUAACUCCGUGCCAGCAGCCGCCGUAACAC